UCGGAUGUGGUGCACGGUGCACACCUGUUCUGGAUACAGCUUGAGAUGCAAUCUAACAGGAAGCCCGGGUUCGACUCCCGGCGUCCGAA